rnacentral:lncRNA from 1 species
UUUUUUCAUUUCUUAUUUAUUUGUUUUAUAUAUCAAAGUUCAAAUCAUGUAUCAUCACCAUCUACAUUGAUUGAUUUUUCAACUUUUAAAUAAUUUAAAACAGGAUAGCUGAAUAAUCAAAAUAAGGUUCAUUAAAGAACAUUUUGGAUCUUUUUAUAUUAAUUAUUUCUUUCAAAUGAAGGAAAAAGUAUAACUUAUAUAAAAAGGAGAGGGUAAAAUUUUCCUGUAGAUUAUAAUACUUUGGUAAAGCCUUUGAAUAGUCCAUAUAUUAAAUGUUUUGAUGAGUGUAAACAUAUCAUACCCUUAUGAGAAUAUUCAUAAUAUGAAAGCCAAUUAAAACAACAAUUUGAUUAUGUAUAUGAAAAUCACAACCUUAAAAUACAAAUAAGACAAUAAAUAUAUAAAUUUUACAUAUGUUACAUAAAUAUAUUAAUGCACAUAUGUCACAACCAUUAUUGUUACAAUAUCACACAUUUACAUGUGCUGGUCACAACAUGUACAAGCACUUUUCAAAUCGUCUGAGCCCCGGAAGCACAUUAAAUUGAAAAAAAAUUCAUAAUAAUCGCUGUCAUUUAAUGCCCAGUGCUUGGAGGUAAAAUAAAAUGAAAAUAUGCUCAUGGCAGUAAAGAAUCUGCAUAUGUAUUUAGUCUUUUCUCUAUGAAGAAUAUUUUUCAAUUAAAAAAAAAAGCAUAAGCAGAUAAUGUUACUGUCUUGUUGCAUUUUGUAUUCUACUUUAAACAAAGAGAAACAGUUGGUAAAUUGAUCAAUUUGAGAUUAUCAACUAUUUUCAAUACAAAAGUAUGCACUGAAUUCAUUAGAACUUGAAAUGGGUUUUAAUUCUGAUAUAUUUGACCAAUUUAAAUAAUGGUUUGAAAAAUUCUUCAAAUGGCCAAAUCAUUAGAAUAUAUGAAUGAGGUAGAAAUUUGAAUUGAUUUUCUUCAAUACAUGACAAAGUUUAGUACAGAAAUUGUUCAUUAUGCUUUGGACAAUUUCGAACUUCAAAAUUAUAUUAUUAAAAUGUUACAGUAAAAGUGAAAGAGAUUGAUAGUACAUGUACAAUGAAAUCCCAUAACAAAAAAUAUUUAGUGAAUUUGCUGGGACAUGUUUUUGAUACAACUUUUUUUGUAUUUAAAAAAAUAUUGCAUUUAGUUUUCUUGGUUGAAAAAAAAUCUAGAGGUUAAACUACAGUUUUUUGAAAAUAAUUGGUGAAUUUGGAAAAGCACCAACUGAUUGGUUUUAUGCUUUCCUUUAUAUUUCAAAUGGAAGGAAAAUUCAAGCAAAAAUGUAUUUCGCAAGGAGAUAUUAAAAUUUUAUUAUAAGAUGCAUUAAAAUAAAUUAUCUUGAUAAUAAAUGUUCAAGAAAAGAAAAAAUACUCUUCAGAUCUUCAGAAAAAAAAUCAUUUAUAGAUCACAAUUCUUACAAUAUGUAAUAUAUUUCCUAAGUUUCUUUAAAAUCAUUUAUUCAAUAUUUGUAUGAAAUUUAAAUAUAUUGAAGGUAAGCAUUUUAAAGCUGACAAUUUACUGAAAAUAAACCCUUCAUCAGCACAAGUUAUUUUUGAUGAAGUAACAUAUAAACAAUGGUCCGAUAAGGAAUGUCUUUGUAGAUAAUCACAACCAAGAACAUAUAAACAUAUAUAAAGAAGAUAGGAACAUCCUCCUUUCUGCAUUAUUACACUCUCAAAUGGUAACCAUGGUAACAUAUUCAUUAGUUUUUAACUUAAGAAGGUUGCCUGAUUUUGAUCUAAUUUGCAAAAAUAAAUAAAUUGGUACAUGUAUAAUUUCAUUCUUAUUUGAAGGCCUUCUCCAUAAACGUGAACUAUUGAAAUAAUGAAAUAUUUUGAUUAACACAAAAAAAUGUGUCUGGAGCUCUGUCUAUUUAUUAUAUAACCAAACAGUCUUAACACAUUUUAAUUUUGUAUAUAUUUUUGUACCAUAAUGAUCAAGUUAUUAAAUAGAUGAAUUAUUAACCUCCGAUUAAUAUAAGUUUUAUUGCUAUUUAAAUUUUUAUUACUUUUGACCCACUGACCUAACUUAAUAAAUUUUCUCAUGUAAAAUUUUAAAACAAUGAUAUUCAGUAAUGGAAAAAGAAAAAUAGCAGGAAGGUCAAUAGGUCAAUGUUUCCCAGUCUCUCAUUGACACUUAUGAGCAUACAGGUUCAAUACAUGAAAAAAUGUUUAAUACAUGAAAAAAUACUUUUCAGAUCUUCAGAAAAAACUGUCUGAAUUUAAAGUGUCAGUAUAUAAAGCAGGAGUGAUAUGAAAUAACACUCCUUCAUGUCCUUAUUUAGAUAAAAAUAAAAUUAUCUGUAAUUCUAUAUAACAUAGAAUUUCUUUGACCUAAUUACAAAUAUUGUUGCAUUUAUACA